UACGUAGGGGGCAAGCGUUGUCCGGAUUUAUUGGGCGUAAAGAGCGUGUAGGCGCCAGGUAGGUCUGCUGUGAAAACUCGAGGCUUAACCUCGAGAUGUCGGCGGAAACCAUCUGGCUAGAGUCCGGAAGAGGAGAAUGGAAUUCCUGGUGUAGCGGUGAAAUGCGCAGAUAUCAGGAAGAACACCGAUGACGAAGGCAGCUCUCUGGGACGGUACUGACGCUGAGACGCGGAAAGCGUAGGGAGCGGAACAGG
rnacentral:rRNA from 1 species